CAAACUUUUCUAUUUUUUUUAUGCAGCUUGUAAUUCAUGGCCAUUCUUCCAGGUGUUUCUAGAGUGGCUUGUUUACAAGAUAAGAUGGAUAGACUUAUUGGCUGAAGUCACAACACAAGAACUUUGAACUGUGAAUUUGCUUUAUUGUUUCUUCACGUGAUAAAUGACUAGUCUGAGCUUCAGUUUUUUGUUCUUGGCUUUUAAUGUAUUGUUAAACUAUUGUCUUGUAAUUAAUGUUUGAAAUCUAUUUAUCUGAUUUGCCAGCCGAUAUCUUUAUUGAAAUCCUAGACGAUGAUGUUUUGGUCUUGCCCCCACAUGUACUCGGUACUUACUGAGAUAGGUGAUGUUUCUAUGCUUCCACUUAAGCAUUCAUCUUUUGAGAAGUGACAUGCUCUCUUUUAUUGGAACAUAUAGGUAUAACUGGAGUGUGAAAGAGUUGCAUAAAAUGCCUCAUUGGUGCAAUGAGCAACUUCAGCAGUUCAGCCAUAUGAACAAGAAGGCACUAGAUCAACAUGAGGUAAGUGAUGAGGCACUCCAGAAAAUACAAGCUGAACUUGAGGCAAGUGACGAGUAAAAAAGCAGACUGAGCUUGAGCUUGAUGUGAAAGACCUGCUAGAGAGAAUUUUAGGACAUAUCCAAGCCAAGGAUGAUGCUAUGAUUUAACGUGUGCAAUGCUAAAAUGUAAGGUAACUCCUCAACUAAAAUUUUUCACAUUGUUAUCUAAGCUAUAAUUUCAGCUGAUAGGGCCUCACAUUAGGUUUUUAUCCUCUACUUUCAAUAAACUAAUGCAUACAAAUAACAUGGUAGAUAAUAAUAAAACACAGUCUAGUAGAUGAAGAAUUUGCAAAUAAGUCAUUAUAAAAUUAUUAUUUAAGAAUUAUUUAAGAAUUGUGCUCUAGCCUUUUCAAUUGUUAAGACAUCUUAAUAGAAAGCUUCUCCAUAUGGUUUCACAUUUGACUUAAACACUAUUGAUUUUUCUUUUCCUAUUUUUACUAGGUUCUUUGUCUGCUUGGCUUCUUGGAUUAGUUCAGGUAUUCCUCACUUGGCUUCUUGCAUCAUUCUUAUAACAACCCGUGACAUCACAUAGGUAAUGUACGUAUAAUGUUAAAUAUUUUCUCUCUUAGAGUUGUGUUCCCAAUUUGCCAGACGGUCGGGCAUAAUCACUAGCAGUUUCUUGACCUUCUGCCAUGGUCACUUUAUCGUUUGAAUGAUGCACUUUAUAUCAAUAUGUAUUUUGAGCAACUUAUUUCAUGUGGUGGUUGGGUAUAAUAACAUAUCAAGUCUAAUAAUUAGGCACCUUAA